GAUUGAGAUUUUAACACGAAGUGAGUGGCGAACGGGUGAGUAACACGUGGGUAACCUGCCCAGAAGUAGGGGAUAACACCUGGAAACAGAUGCUAAUACCGUAUAACAGAGAAAACCGCAUGGUUUUCUUUUAAAAGAUGGCUCUGCUAUCACUUCUGGAUGGACCCGCGGCGUAUUAGCUAGUUGGUGAGGUAAAGGCUCACCAAGGCAGUGAUACGUAGCCGACCUGAGAGGGUAAUCGGCCACAUUGGGACUGAGACACGGCCCAGACUCCUACGGGAGGCAGCAGUAGGGAAUCUUCCACAAUGGACGCAAGUCUGAUGGAGCAACGCCGCGUGAGUGAAGAAGGGUUUCGGCUCGUAAAGCUCUGUUGUUAAAGAAGAACGUGGGUAAGAGUAACUGUUUACCCAGUGACGGUAUUUAACCAGAAAGCCACGGCUAACUACGUGCCAGCAGCCGCGGUAAUACGUAGGUGGCAAGCGUUAUCCGGAUUUAUUGGGCGUAAAGCGAGCGCAGGCGGUCUUUUAAGUCUAAUGUGAAAGCCUUCGGCUCAACCGAAGAAGUGCAUUGGAAACUGGGAGACUUGAGUGCAGAAGAGGACAGUGGAACUCCAUGUGUAGCGGUGAAAUGCGUAGAUAUAUGGAAGAACACCAGUGGCGAAGGCGGCUGUCUGGUCUGCAACUGACGCUGAGGCUCGAAA
rnacentral:rRNA from 1 species